AGGACAGGCCUAGACAAUGAAGCAAGGGGCGAGUGGGUGGAUGGGUAAAACCACCUGCUCCUCAAAACAGCCAGGCUCUGAGAUGAAGCAGGAAUCUGCACUUAAACCGAGGCUGGAUCCAUCCUAGGGAUUCAAGCCUGUGUUGUCAAGCGAAAACAGAAAAGAGAAGGGAAUUCCACCUUUGCCCACUGAGAACACAUCUAUGCUGAGAACACAUCUACCCAACUCCUCUGUCACAACCCCUGUGAGAAGGUUCUGCCAUCUCCCAGCCCUGAAGAUUGUGAGCUCCCUGAUGGCCCUGGGCCUCCCUCCCGACAGCUGAGGCCCUUCCUGGAUCUCUACACGUCACCAAGCUAAGCCAGUGUUCCAAAAUAGUCUCCUGAACAAUGAUGACAACUGCACAGUUAUUUUGGAAGAACUUCCUGGCAGUGAUGGCAGUGGAACAUUGGAAACAGAGAUGAACAGGAGGUGGGAAGAGGAGGCUAAGUACAUGUAGGCCUAAAAGUCUCUGCCUUGGGAGAUUUUUAACAGUCCUGGAUGGAGAUCCCCUCACUGAGACUUCCAAAGAUUUUUAUCAACAAUUUUAUGUCACUCCCACUAACUCUUUGAAGGUAAAUGGCAGAAUUAAUUUUCCCGUUUAAAAAACAGAAACACAAAGACCCAGUGGAGUCUGCAUUUUCUAGUUUUAGUCAGCCAUUCUGGAAGCUGCGUCCUGGUAACCGCAGUGUCCCAGCUGUGAACUCCGGGCAAGUGUACAGCAUCAUCUUCCAUUCACCAUGUGGUUACUGCACUUCUCAUACAAACUACCUGCGUUACUCAGUUAUCCAGUAUCAAGGACUAUGCCACACUCCUUAGAGCAGAUGCAGGGCACUUAGAGAUUAAUAAAACAGGCCGAGCACAGCCUGUAACCCCAGCACUUUGGGAGCCUGAGAUGGAAGAACUGCUUGAGCCCAGGAGUUCAAGACCAGCCUCGGCAACAUAGUGAGACCCCCAUCUCUACUAAAAAUAAAAAAUUAGCCUUGCAUGGUGGCACCUUCCUGUGGUCCCAGCUACUUGGGAGGCUGAGAUGGGAGGAUCCCUUGAGCUCAGGUGGUUGAGGCUGCAGUGAGUUGUGACUGUGCCACUGCACACCAGCCUGGGCAACAGAGCAAGACUCUGUCUCAAAAAAAUUAAUUAAUUAAAUAAAAAUAAAAAUAAAA
rnacentral:lncRNA from 1 species